GCCCAGCUUGCUGGGUGGAUCAGUGGCGAACGGGUGAGUAACACGUGAGCAACCUGCCCUCCACUUCGGGAUAAGCCUUGGAAACGGGGUCUAAUACCGGAUAUGAGCCUGCAUCGCAUGGUGUGGGUUGGAAAGUUUUUCGGUGGGGGAUGGGCUCGCGGCCUAUCAGCUUGUUGGUGGGGUGAUGGCCUACCAAGGCGUCGACGGGUAGCCGGCCUGAGAGGGCGACCGGCCACACUGGGACUGAGACACGGCCCAGACUCCUACGGGAGGCAGCAGUGGGGAAUAUUGCACAAUGGGCGAAAGCCUGAUGCAGCGACGCCGCGUGAGGGAUGACGGCCUUCGGGUUGUAAACCUCUUUCAGCAGGGAAGAAGCGCAAGUGACGGUACCUGCAGAAGAAGCGCCGGCUAACUACGUGCCAGCAGCCGCGGUAAUACGUAGGGCGCAAGCGUUGUCCGGAAUUAUUGGGCGUAAAGAGCUCGUAGGCGGUCUGUCGCGUCUGGUGUGAAAUCCCGAGGCUCAACCUCGGGCUUGCAUCGGGUACGGGCAGACUAGAGUGCGGUAGGGGAGACUGGAAUUCCUGGUGUAGCGGUGGAAUGCGCA
rnacentral:rRNA from 1 species